CCAAGCAAACAGCACUAGUUGGGUCUUCGGCUGCUUCUGCUCCGACGGGAUGGGCGAGCACAGUUGCGGUACGUUGUCCUCUACAUCUGUUUUUCGGUGUUGCUUCCAUUUGUCUCUAGUGGAUUGGGUGAAAUAAGAUGAGUGAGAUGGGGUCGAUGGUGUGUUGAGGUCAGUCAACCAACCACUAGCCUGUGGUCCAAAAUUAAGAUCAUAUCAGCGUAACUAUAAUCACACAAAAUAGUCCAUUCCGCAGCGCACGUUCUUCAGUUCUUCCCUUCUCACCAAUCCUUUCCCUUCCGCUUCUACUCUAAUAUAUCCUUCGUCUCAAAUGAAUUCCAAAAUCUUACUAGAGUCAAAAGGGAUCUUUUUCCAUCUUGUUUUUCCUCAUCUCCUUUUAGAUAGGAAGCGGGCUGCCCUUUGGUGCAAGUCCAGCAAUAAACAUAGGUUCCGGUUCAACAGCCAUCUUAUUGUGGGUAUCCAUCUUUUACGGUGACCUGCAAAAAGCUUCAUCCCUGUUCUUAAACUCCUCGGCCAUGACUGUCGUAUCAGAUACAUUUUCAAGCAGCUCUUGUCACCGAUUUCAUCCACAGUGAUUCAGCGACUCAGUGGAACCUUUCUCGCGUCGACUCAACUAAUAAAAACUUUUCUCUCUCUUCCAUUGCUCAGAGAAACUAUUCAACUACCAAGAAAUAUCUCGUCCUAAUGAUUGCACGUCGGCAUAUAUAUUUCAUCGGACAAUAGUCAAUAUCAGUGUCACAUCUCGAACCCAGCACCCGAGUCUGAAAUACGAUACGACCGCACACUUCUUAAAACAGAGGCCUAGAGAAUAUGCUAGGCUUGAAAAAUUUAUCACAACCCCAAUAUCCGUAAACAAUAAUGAUCUCAAUUCAUAUCGGAUAACAAAGUUGAUCCAAUUACAAAAUUUGAUCAUCUAACCAGUAUCAAUAAUGCUCUAUCCAAUCAUCUCCUCUAUCUAUGAUUUCAACCAUAGCCAAGUAGCAUGCAACUUGUAACUCUGGAAAAAAAAAGGAGGAAGGGGUUGUGAGCUUUACAGCCCAGUAAAAAUUCCAAAACACUACACCAUAAGUAAUAAGAAAAUAAUCAAUUAGCAAUACUAGAUAUAAUGAAAAUUGUAUCAAAGCUCAUACAAAUAAUAGGCACAUUAACAUUUUAUCAUAAGGCAUAUGUGUUUGUGUGUGUGUAUAAUGACCGAGUACAUAAAUUCUUAUUUCUAUCGAAGAUUGAUUAAACACAAUAAUCAUUGGCCUACUUCACGGUCUACGAGCUGGGAUGCAGAGUAUCUGAUUAGAACCUUCUUGUGCAUAUGACUCUUCAUUUACAAAAUCAAACUCGAUUAUCAAAAGAAAAUCAAAUACU
rnacentral:lncRNA from 1 species